UUGAAAAGAACUUUGAAGAGAGAGUUCAAGAGUACGUGAAACCGUUCAGGGGUAAACCUAAGAAACCCAAAAGAUCGAACGGGGAGAUUCAUCGUCAGCGACGUUGGCUUCACGUCGGUGGGCGAUGUCGCGCGGGGCCUCGCGGCUCGCGCGCUGACACGCUGCCGUGCGUCGAUGUCCGGCGUUCGUCGUCGUGCACUUCUCCCCUAGUAGAACGUCGCGACCCGCUGGGUGUCUGUCUACGGCCCGGGUGCGGUGACUGACGCGUCGCCGGUAAAACGGUACGCCGUCAAACCCUCGGUCACCCGGCCGGCUGCCCGGCGGUACACGCAAGGUAUCAGGCCGCAGAUCUCUCUCUCUCACGAGAAAGAGUAUGCGUCGAGGCCGUUGCAAGCGCGCGCCACGGUACACGGAGGUUAACGGACCUAGUGCCGUCACCGGUCCUGGCCCGCUGCUGGUUUUACGGUUCCACCUUCGACAGGCCUACAAACGUCCCCCCCCACCAGGCGGGGACCGAUACCGGUCGGCGACGCUACUGCUUUGGGUACUCUUAGGACCCGUCUUGAAACACGGACCAAGGAGUCUAACAUGUACGCGAGUCAUUGGGACUAGCGAGUGAAACCUAAAGGCGUAAUGAAAGUGAAGGUCGUCCCUGGUUGUCGACCGAGGGAGGAUGGGCCGCGACAACGCGGCUCCGCACUCCCGGGGCGUCUCGUUCUCAUUGCGAGAAGAGGCGCACCCAGAGCGUACACGUUGGGACCCGAAAGAUGGUGAACUAUGCCUGGUCAGGACGAAGUCAGGGGAAACCCUGAUGGAGGUCCGUAGCGAUUCUGACGUGCAAAUCGAUCGUCGGAACUGGGUAUAGGGGCGAAAGACUAAUCGAACCAUCUAGUAGCUGGUUCCCUCCGAAGUUUCCCUCAGGAUAGCUGGCACUCGGCCGUUCCGCACGGAACGCGCGCGAGUCUCAUCUGGUAAAGCGAAUGAUUAGAGGCCUUGGGGCCGAAACGACCUCAACCUAUUCUCAAACUUUAAAUGGGUGAGAUCUCUGGCUUUCUUGAACUAUGAAGCCACGAGCAUCUCGGAUCAGAGUGCCAAGUGGGCCAUUUUUGGUAAGCAGAACUGGCGCUGUGGGAUGAACCAAACGCAGAGUUAAGGCGCCCAACUCGACGCUCAUGGGACACCAUGAAAGGCGUUGGUUGCUUAAGACAGCAGGACGGUGGCCAUGGAAGUCGGAAUCCGCUAAGGAGUGUGUAACAACUCACCUGCCGAAGCAACUAGCCCUGAAAAUGGAUGGCGCUGAAGCGUCGAGCCUAUACUCUGCCGUCAGCGGCAAGUGGGGCGGUCGCGUGCGCUUGUGCGUACGCGUCGCCACGAAGCCCUGACGAGUAGGAGGGUCGCGGCGGUGUGCGCAGAAGGGUCU
rnacentral:rRNA from 1 species